CUGGGAGCACUGGGAGGGGGCACUGGGGUUACUGGGAGCACUGGGAGUUACUGGGAGCUAACGGGGUGCCUGGUGUGCAUUGUUAGUGGUUUAUACUGGUUUAUACUGGUUUAUACUGGUUUAUAGGAAUCUAUACUGGUUUAUACCGGUCUGUACUGGUCUAUACCGGUUUAUACUGGUUUGUACUGGUCUGUACUGGUCUGUACUGGUUUAUACUGGUCUAUACCGGUUUAUACCAGUUUAUACUCGUUUACACUGGUUUAUACUGGUUUAUACCGGUCUAUACUGGUCUAUACUGGUCUGUACUGGUUUAUACUGGUUUAUACUGGUUUGGACUGGUUUAUACUGGUUUAUACUGGUUUGUACUGGUUUAUACUGGUUUGGACUGGUUUAUACUGGUUUGUACUGGUUUGUACUGGUUUAUACUGGUUUGUACUGGUUUGGACUGGUUUGUACUGGUUUAUACUGGUUUGGACUGGUUUGGACUGGUUUAGACUGGUUUGGACUGGUUUAUACUGGUUUGGACUGGUUUGGACUGGUUUAUACUGGUUUACACUGGUUUAUACUGGUUUAGACUGGUUUGGACUGGUUUGGACUGGUUUAUACGGGUCCAUACCGGUCCAUACUGGUUUAUACUGGUCCAUACUGGUCCAUACUGGUCCAUACUGGUCCAUACUGGUUUAUACUGGUCCAUACUGGUCCAUACUGGUCCAUACUGGUCCAUACUGGUCCAUACUGGUUUAUACUGGUCCAUACUGGUUCAUACUGGUUUAUACUGGUCCAUACUGGUCCAUACUGGUCCGUACUGGUUUAUACUGGUCUGUACUGGUUUAUACUGGUCCAUACUGGUCCAUACUGGUUUAUACUGGUCCAUACUGGUCCAUACUGGUCCAUACUGGUUUAUACUGGUCCAUACUGGUCCAUACCGGUCCAUACUGGUCCAUACUGGUCCAUACUGGUUUAUACUGGUCCAUACUGGUUUCCCAGGUGCUGCCGCUGGUGCUGGGGGCGCUGCCCCUGCAGGAGGAUCUGGAGGAGGAGGGGCCAGUGCUGAACUUCCUGUUGGGGGCGGGGCCUGAGCGGCUCCUCCCCCACCUCCCCGAGCUCGUCCGCGGCGUCGGCCCCGCCCUGGCCCUGAACCGGCUGCAACCGGCUCUCAGCCAAUCCCUGCUCGAGCUGCUGCGGGAAAUGGGCGUGGCCGACCCUCAGCGCUUCCGGGUGGGCGUGGCCUCGCUGGACCCCGCCCACGCCGCCAUCUUGGUUCAGCUGUUGGAUGACGUCAUCAGCGACCAAUAA
rnacentral:lncRNA from 1 species